CUACCAUCUUAACUAAACUGAUGCCCAGGCCGCACGUUGCUAAAGCGUUCGAAGAACGAAAGCAUUUCAGCUUCUACGGAGACUGGCAUAGUUGCUAGGAUCUUGGUGAAUUGUUACAACUAUCUUCAUUUUCCAUGUUGCAGCAAAGCUCUUUGAGAAACUGAAGGGAUGAGAAGGUAGUUCCAUGCCAUAUUCAUGUUCUGGUUACUAUGUAUUGCCAACUUCUGGUUUCUAUCUCCAGCAUUUGAAUGUCCUAUUGUCGAAGACAAGCUCAUCAUGGUGGUUGAAUAAUAUAAGCUCCAGCAGCAACUAUUGUAAACAAUUGAAACCUUGAGUUGAUAAAGAAAUUUGUAAAAAUUGAUUUCAGAUUUGGCUUUGUUGAGUGAUGACUGAUGAGAAGGAAAAAUGCAGUCUGAAAAAUUAUCCGGAAUGAAUUUAGUAGUUGCUAUAAAAAUCUAUUAUUAAGAUUAGGUACUAA